GGUUGUCGUCAGCUCGUGUCGUGAGAUGUGGGUUAAGUCCCGCAACGAGCGCAACCCUUAUUGCUAGUUACCAUCAUUGAGUUGGGGACUCUAGCGAGACUGCCAGCGAUAAGCUGGAGGAAGUGGGGAUGACGUCAAAUCAUCAUGCCCCUUAUGACCUGGGCUACAAACGUGAUACAAUGGCUGGAACAAAGGGAGGCGAAGGGGUGACCUGGAGCGAAACCCAAAAAUACAGUCUCAGUUCGGAUUGAAGUCUGCAACUCGACUUCAUGAAGUCGGAAUCGCUAGUAAUCGCGGAUCAGAACGCCGCGGUGAAUACGUUCUCGGGGUUU
rnacentral:rRNA from 1 species